GGAUUUGGUCCAUGGGCGAAGCCUGACCAGCAACGCCGCGUGNACGAUGAAGGUCUUCGGAUCGUAAAGNACUUUUCUGAGAGAUGAGAAAGGACAGUAUCUCAGGAAUAAGCCUCGGCUAACUACGUGCCAGCAGCCGCGGUAANACGUAGGAGGCAAGCGUUAUCCGGAUUUACUNGGGCGUAAAGCGCGUGUAGGCGGUUCGGCAAGUUGGAUGUGAAAGCUCCUGGCUCAACUGGGAGAGGUCGUUCAAUACUACCGAACUUGAGGUCAUCAGAGGAGAGUGGAAUUCCCGGUGUAGUGGUGAAAUGCCGUAGAUAUCGGGAGGAACACCAGUGGCGAAAGCGGCUCUCUGGGAUGAUCCUGACGCUCAGACGCGAAAGCUAGGGUAGCAAACGGGAUUAGAGACCCCGGUAGUCCUAGCAGUAAACGAUGUAGACUUGGCGUCGGUGGGUUCAAAACCAUCGGUGUCGAAGCUAACGCGAUAAGUCUACCGCCUGGGGACUACGGCCGCAAGGUUAAAACUCAAAAAAAUUGACGGA
rnacentral:rRNA from 1 species